rfam:Anopheles minimus strain MINIMTS1 unplaced genomic scaffold supercont1.24, whole genome shotgun sequence.
CCUUAUCUGGAUCGGGUUUCGCUGGCUAACGUGUUGUAAAAGCGAGUAGCGAGUAAAUCUUCAAUUCGUUGUCGACGAAACCUGCACGGAAUAAGG